AGUGAACGCUGGCGGUAGGCCUAACACAUGCAAGUCGAACGGCAGCACAGUAAGAGCUUGCUCUUACGGGUGGCGAGUGGCGGACGGGUGAGGAAUACAUCGGAAUCUACUUUUUCGUGGGGGAUAACGUAGGGAAACUUACGCUAAUACCGCAUACGACCUACGGGUGAAAGCAGGGGAUCUUCGGACCUUGCGCGAUUGAAUGAGCCGAUGUCGGAUUAGCUAGUUGGCGGGGUAAAGGCCCACCAAGGCGACGAUCCGUAGCUGGUCUGAGAGGAUGAACGGCACCACUGGAACUGGGACCGGGUCCAGACUCCGAGGGGAGGCACCAGGGGGGAAUUUGGGAAAAGGGGCGAAAGCCUUAUCCAGCCAUCCCGGGGGGGUGAAGAAGGCCUGCGGGUUGUAAAGCCCUUUUGUGGGGAAAAAAAAGAAGCAGGUUAAAACCCCGCUGUUCUGACGGUACCAAAAAAAUAAGCACCGGCUAACUUCGU
rnacentral:rRNA from 1 species